rnacentral:sRNA from 1 species
CUCUUUCCUUUCGGUGUGGUGAGUAAGCGCAGUUGUCGUCUCUUGCAGUGCCGUUGCUGGUUCUCACACCUUUUAGGUCUGUUCUGGUCUUCCGUUCCGACUCUCUCUUUUUCGUUGCAGCCACUGAAGAUCCUGGUGUCGCCAUGGGCCGCCGCCCCGCCCGUUGUUACCGGUAUUGUAAGAACAAGCCGUACCCAAAGUCUCGCUUCUGCCGAGGUGUCCCUGGUAAGUAGUGGAAGAGCCCCUGCACUGGUUGGCUCUGCGGACUCAGCGUCCGUCUGUGACACCCCCUGCAUACUUACCCAAUCCUUUUAGAUGCCAAGAUUCGCAUUUUUGACCUGGGGCGGAAAAAGGCAAAAGUGGAUGAGUUUCCGCUUUGUGGCCACAUGGUGUCAGAUGAAUAUGAGCAGCUGUCCUCUGAAGCCCUGGAGGCUGCCCGAAUUUGUGCGAAUAAGUACAUGGUAAAAAGUUGUGGCAAAGAUGGCUUCCAUAUCCGGGUGCGGCUCCACCCCUUCCACGUCAUCCGCAUCAACAAGAUGUUGUCCUGUGCUGGGGCUGACAGGUGAGCUUGGUCUGGGCCUUUUAAGGCAGUUGGAGUCUCUACAUUAUUAGGCUUGCAUUAUUUUAUCAGAGCAUAGAGGUGGCCCCAGUGACUCAGCCACUAUGGCUACUAGAAAAGCCAGGCUGGCAAGUGACUUUCAGUGGUCACUCAGGACCCCUUCCUGUGGACUGUUGCAGAUACAAACAAAGCAUGAGUAAGUCUUAGCAAGCUCUUCCCCACAGGUUAGGGGAAACACUGGUGAUGGGAGUAGCUCUUCUUGCUUUUAGCUGAAUGACAACCAUCUUGCCAGCAGGUAGCUGAAGCUGGCAGAGGAGCCCAGUGGCGCCUUUUCAGUGGUUCUUGGGAUGCUCCGCAGCCAAUUAAGCCGACUGAGUUCCUUUCCUCAUGGGGACCCAGUGUGCAAUGGCUGCACACAGCAGCUUCCUUGGUAGUGUACGCAGCCUGUUGGUUGUAUGGGUUGCUCUAAGGGACCUUGGAGACAGGCCUUUCCGGUGGAUGUUCGUGUUUCUGACCUUGCACUACCCCAAUGUAGGCUCCAAACAGGCAUGCGAGGUGCCUUUGGAAAGCCCCAGGGCACUGUGGCCAGGGUUCACAUUGGCCAAGUUAUCAUGUCCAUCCGCACCAAGCUGCAGAACAAGGAGCAUGUGAUUGAGGCCCUGCGCAGGGCCAAGUUCAAGUUUCCUGGCCGCCAGAAGGUAUGUAGUGCUGCAGCCCCCUUCUCCCACCUUUCUUUGCCCCAGGCCUCCUGACUCAGUUCUUUCCAUUGCUCCGUAGAUCCACAUCUCAAAGAAGUGGGGCUUCACCAAGUUCAAUGCUGAUGAAUUUGAAGACAUGGUGGCUGAAAAGCGGCUCAUCCCAGAUGGCUGUGGGGUCAAGUACAUCCCCAAUCGUGGCCCUCUGGACAAGUGGCGGGCCCUGCACUCAUGAGGGCUUCCAAUGUGCUGCCCCCCUCUUAAUACUCACCAAUAAAU